GACGAACGCUGGCGGCGUGCUUAACACAUGCAAGUCGAACGGGGUGUAGCAAUACAUCUAGUGGCGGACGGGUGAGGAAUACAUAGGAAUUUGCCCUUAAGUGGGGGAUAGUCCGGGGAAACUCGGUUUAAUACCGCAUGAUCUCGUGAGAGCAAAGCAGGGGACCGCAAGGCCUUGCGCUUUUGGAGAAGCCUAUGUCGGAUUAGCUAGUUGGUAGGGUAAUGGCCUACCAAGGCAACGAUCCGUAACUGGUCUGAGAGGAUGAUCAGUCACACCGGAACUGAGACACGGUCCGGACUCCUACGGGAGGCAGCAGUGGGGAAUAUUGGACAAUGGGCGCAAGCCUGAUCCAGCAAUGCCGCGUGUGUGAAGAAGGCC
rnacentral:rRNA from 1 species